ensembl:lncRNA
GUAUGAUGGAGGGUAUACAGUAAGUAUGAUGGAGGGUACAUAAGGUAUGAUGGAGGGUAUACAGUAGGUAAGAUGGAGGGUAUACAGUAGGUAUGAUGGAGGGUAUACAGUAGGUAUGAUGGAGGGUAUACAGUAGGUAUGAUGGAGGGUACACAUCAGGGAUGAUGGAGGGUAUACAGUAGGUAUGAUGGAGGGUAUACCAUUGGUAUGAUGGAGGGUAUACAGUAGGUAUGAUGGAGGGCAUACAGUAGGUAUGAUGGAGGGUAUACAGUAGGUAUGAUGGAGGGUAUACAGUAGGUAUGAUGGAGGGUAUACAGUAGGUAUGGU